GAAAGUCCCCCGGCUCCAACCGGGGAGGGUCAUUGGAAACUGGCGAACUUGAGUGCAGAAGAGGGGAGUGGAAUUCCACGUGUAGCGGUGAAAUGCGUAGAGAUGCGGAGGAACACCAGUGGCGAAGGCGACUCUCUGGUCUGUAACUGACGUUGAGGAGCGAAAGCGUGGGGAGCGAACAGGAUUAGAUACCCUGGUAGUCCCACGCCGUAAACGAUGAGUGAUAAGUGUUAGGGGGGUUUCCGCCCCUUAGUGCUGCAGCUAACGCAUUAAGCACUCCGCCUGGGGAGUACGGUCGCAAGACUGAAACUCAAAGGAAUUGACGGGGGCCCGCACAAGCGGUGGAGCAUGUGGUUUAAUUGGAAGCAACGCGAAGAACCUUACCAGGUCUUGACAUCCUCUGACAAUCCUAGAGAUAGGACGUCCCCUUCGGGGGCAGAGUGACAGGUGGUGCAUGGUUGUCGUCAGCUCGUGUCGUGAGAUGUUGGGUUAAGUCCCGCAACGAGCGCAACCCUUGAUCUUAGUUGCCAGCAUUCAGUUGGGCACUCUAAGGUGACUGCCGGUGACAAACCGGAGGAAGGUGGGGAUGACGUCAAAUCAUCAUGGCCCUUAUGACCUGGGCUACACACGUGCUACAAUGGACGAGAACAAAGGGAAGCGAAAUCGCGAG
rnacentral:rRNA from 1 species